rnacentral:rRNA from 1 species
CAGUCGCCACGGUAAUACGUAGGUGGCAAGCGUUGUCCGGAAUUAUUAGGCGUAAAGGGCUCGCAGGCGGUUUCUUAAGUCUGAUGUGAAAGCCCCCGGCUCAACCGGGGAGGGUCAUUGGAAACUGGGAAACUUGAGUGCAGAAGAGGAGAGUGGAAUUCCACGUGUAGCGGUGAAAUGCGUAGAGAUGUGGAGGAACACCAGUGGCGAAGGCGACUCUCUGGUCUGUAACUGACGCUGAGGAGCGAAAGCGUGGGGAGCGAACAGGAUUAGAUACCCCUGUAGUCCCUGUCUCUUAUAC